rnacentral:rRNA from 1 species
CGGGGAUUAGUGGCGAACGGGUGAGUAACACGUGGGCAAUCUGCCCUGCACUCUGGGACAAGCCCUGGAAACGGGGUCUAAUACCGGAUAUGACUGUCCAUCGCAUGGUGGAUGGUGUAAAGCUCCGGCGGUGCAGGAUGAGCCCGCGGCCUAUCAGCUUGUUGGUGAGGUAGUGGCUCACCAAGGCGACGACGGGUAGCCGGCCUGAGAGGGCGACCGGCCACACUGGGACUGAGACACGGCCCAGACUCCUACGGGAGGCAGCAGUGGGGAAUAUUGCACAAUGGGCGAAAGCCUGAUGCAGCGACGCCGCGUGAGGGAUGACGGCCUUCGGGUUGUAAACCUCUUUCAGCAGGGAAGAAGCGAAAGUGACGGUACCUGCAGAAGAAGCGCCGGCUAACUACGUGCCAGCAGCCGCGGUAAUACGUAGGGCGCAAGCGUUGUCCGGAAUUAUUGGGCGUAAAGAGCUCGUAGGCGGCUUGUCACGUCGGUUGUGAAAGCCCGGGGCUUAACCCCGGGUCUGCAGUCGAUACGGGCAGGCUAGAGUUCGG